GUCCACGCCGUAAACGAUGAAUACUAGGUAUGGGAGGUAUCGACUCCUUCCGUGCCGUAGCUAACGCAUUAAGUAUUCCGCCUGGGGAGUACGGCCGCAAGGUUGAAACUCAAAGAAAUUGACGGGGACCCGCACAAGCAGCGGAGCAUGUUGUUUAAUUCGACGCAACGCGAAAACCUUACCAAAUCUUGACAUCCUUUGACCGCCUAAGAAUUAGGUCUUUCUAGCAAUAGAACAGAGAGACAGGUGGUGCAUGGUUGUCGU
rnacentral:rRNA from 1 species